rnacentral:rRNA from 1 species
CCUACGGGAGGCAGCAGUGGGGAAUAUUGGACAAUGGGGGAAACCCUGAUCCAGCGACGCCGCGUGAGUGAAGAAGUAUUUCGGUACGUAAAGCUCUAUCAGCAGGAAAGAAAAUGACGGUACCUGACUAAGAAGCCCCGGCUAACUACGUGCCAGCAGCCGCGGUAAUACGUAGGGGGCAAGCGUUAUCCGGAUUUACUGGGUGUAAAGGGAGCGCAGGCGGCGUGGCAAGUCAGAUGUGAAAACCCGGGGCCCAACCCCGGGAGUGCAUUUGAAACUGCCAUGCUGGAGUGCCGGAGAGGUAA